rnacentral:rRNA from 1 species
CUCGCAAGAGUGAACUAGCUAACUGAAAUCAUUAUGAGUCAUUAAUUUGGUGAUUAUGAUAACAUAAGGGAAAAAAAAUGAUAUUACCUUAUUAUUAGUGUUGUCCAAAACUGGUGCCAGAAGACUCGGUAAGACCAGAGACGCAAACGUUAGUCAUCUUAAUCAGGCGUAAAGGGUGUGUAGGCUGCUUUAAAAGUUUAAAUCUUUUUAAUAGCUCUUUUGCCGUUGUCAUACCAUUAUUUUUUUGUUUUUGUUUUUUGUUUUAUAAAUAAUAAACAAAAAUGAAUAUAAAGGUAGUACAUUUUAUAAAUUUAAUUAAUUUAAUUAAUUUAAUUAAUUUAAUUUUAUAAUUAUAAAGGGGACAAAAAAGAUAUCCCGGUUUAAGUAAAAAGAAUAAAAUGAAUUAAAGCUAGGAUCAAAUUGAGGAUAAACCAAAUAAUACUUAGAGUAGGGCCGAUAUCCGCAGAUACUAAGGGGAAUACUAAAGGUGAAAGCUUUUUAUCUACUAUUGAUUGACGCUGAGAAACGAAGGUGAGAACAGGAAAUAGGAUUUGAUACCCAGAUACCUCUCACUGUCAACGAUGAAUGGUGGUUGUUAGUUUUAAUAAAAACUGGUAACGAUGUUAACACGAUAACCAUUCCGCCUUGCGAGUACGGUUGCAAAACUGAAACCAAAAAAAUUAGUCGUUUCGAAGCAAACGAAGUGAAGCAU